rnacentral:rRNA from 1 species
GAUGAACGCUGGCGGCGUGCCUAAUACAUGCAAGUCGAGCGAACAGAUGAGGAGCUUGCUCCUCUUACGUUAGCGGCGGACGGGUGAGUAACACGUGGAUAACCUACCUAUAAGACUGGGAUAACUUCGGGAAACCGGAGCUAAUACCGGAUAAUAUAUUGAACCGCAUGGUUCAAUAGUGAAAGACGGUUUUGCUGUCACUUAUAGAUGGAUCCGCGCCGCAUUAGCUAGUUGGUAAGGUAACGGCUUACCAAGGCAACGAUGCGUAGCCGACCUGAGAGGGUGAUCGGCCACACUGGAACGGAGACACGGUCCAGACUCCUACGGGAGGCAGCAGUAGGGAAUCUUCCGCAAUGGGCGAAAGCCUGACGGAGCAACGCCGCGUGAGUGAUGAAGGUCUUCGGAUCGUAAAACUCUGUUAUUAGGGAAGAACAAAUGUGUAAGUAACUAUGCACGUCUUGACGGUACCUAAUCAGAAAGCCACGGCUAACUACGUG